rnacentral:rRNA from 1 species
UACGGGGGGGGGCAAGCGUUGUUCGGAAUUACUGGGCGUAAAGGGCGCGUAGGCGGUCAGACCAAGUCGAGUGUGAAAUUCCAGGGCUUAACUCUGGCGCGCUCGCUCGAUACUGGUCGGCUAGAGUGUGGAAGAGGAUGCUGGAAUUCCCGGUGUAGCGGUGAAAUGGCGUAGAUAUCGGGAGGAACACCUGUGGCGAAAGCGGCGCACUGGCCAUAACUGACGUGAGGCGCGAGGCGUGGGGAGCGAACGG